rnacentral:sRNA from 1 species
AUUACCUACAAGAUACAUGUACUUAUUAUUUGUUAUCAAUUAUACAUUUUUAUUGAAAAUGGUGGACACAACACAGGAACACAAUUUUAUAAUAAAUUCAACUGUAAUUGUCCGUUAAUGGUAAAACUUGAAUAGUGCAUACCAAUUUUCAGUAAAGUCUUAUACAGCUUCAAGGCCCUGAGGCCAGGACUGAUGUCACUAUGUAUAUACAACUAUUGGUGAUUUUCAUUCACAAUUCCAUUCUUUGCAUUCAUUCUUAAAAAUGGCACCAUGCAGAUACUUAGAAGUUGUAUGUGUGUUGAAAGUGUUACUAUAGUAUUCAUUUUCUAACUUCAAUGUUGAAGAAAUAAUGGUUGCUCUGCAUAUCGACUAUCUUCAUGAACAAGAAAGUCUGUAUUAUUUAGAGGUACAGUAGUUUGAGAAACUAUUAAAAUAUAUACCUACAAUGUAUGUGUACAUCACUACAAAACAUGCUAAUUGUCUGAAAAAGAAAAUUAUAAAUAUAAUUGAAAAUGAUGCAUUCCAUGUUUGAAUUACAAUAGCACAACUAAUGAUGAGAUUAUAAAAUACCGUAGCAAGAUUGUUACAUACUAUGUAUAAUUUGAUGGACUAAUUGUAAUGUUAUGUCUCCUAAAGGAGGUUGGACACUACUAAACAUAAAUUGUGAAUUGAAAUC